rnacentral:misc_RNA from 1 species
CCUAGAGUUGUAGGCUUUGCCUGCUAUCUCUUACCCAUGUCUUUUGAGUACCUUCGUUUCCUCGGCGGGUCCGCCCGCCGAUUGGACAAUUUAAACCAUUUGCAGUUGCAAUCAGCGACUGAAAAAACUUAAUAGUUA